rnacentral:tRNA from 1 species
AAUAGCUCAGUCGGUAGAGCGUUCGGCUGUUAACCGAAAUGUCGUAAGUUCGAGUCUUACUU